CCUACGGGUGGCAGCAGUGAGGAAUAUUGGUCAAUGGGCGAGAGCCUGAACCAGCCAAGUCGCGUGAAGGAUGAAGGAUCUAUGGUUUGUAAACUUCUUUUAUACGGGAAUAAAGCGAGGAACGUGUUCUCUUCUGUAUGUACUAUAUGAAUAAGCAUCGGCUAACUCCGUGCCAGCAGCCGCGGUAAUACGGAGGAUGCGAGCGUUAUCCGGAUUUAUUGGGUUUAAAGGGUGCGUAGGUGGUUAAUUAAGUCAGCGGUGAAAGUUUGUGGCUUAACCCUGAAAUUGCCGUUGAAACUGGUUGACUAGAGUAUAUAUGAGGUAGGCGGAAUGCGUGGUGUAGCGGUGAAAUGCAUAGAUAUCACGCAGAACACCGAUUGCGAAGGCAGCUUACUAAACUAUAACUGACACUGAGGCACGAAAGCGUGGGGAUCAAACAGGAUUAGAUACCCUAGUAGUC
rnacentral:rRNA from 1 species